AAUGAACGCUGGCGGCGUGCCUAACACAUGCAAGUCGAGCGAACAGAUGAGGAGCUUGCUCCUUUGCGGUUAGCGGCGGACGGGCGAGUAACACAUGGAUAACCUACCUCUUAGACUGGGAUAACUUCGGGGAACAGGAUCCACUAACGCAGCAUAUAUCCAACUGCAUAGUUCAAUAGUUCUAGACGCCUUUCCCGUCAGUUUGAGCUGGAUCCGCGCCGCAUUAGUUAGUGGGUAAGGUAACGGCGUACCAAGGCGACGAAGCGUAGCCGACCUGAGAGGGUGAUCGGCCACACUGGAACUGAGACACGGUCCAGACUCCUACGGGAGGCAGCAGUCGGGAAUCUUCCGCAAUGGGCGAAAGCCUGACCCAGCAACGCCGCGUGAGUGAUGAAGGCCUUCGGGUCGUAAAGCUCUUUUAUUAGGAAAGAACACAUGUAUAAGAAUCCAUGCACGUUCUGACGGUACCCAAAGAAAAAGCAACGGCUAACUUCGUG
rnacentral:rRNA from 1 species